GAUGAACGCUGGCGGCAGGCCUAACACAUGCAAGUCGAACGGUAGCACAGAGAGCUUGCUCUCGGGUGACGAGUGGCGGACGGGUGAGUAAUGUCUGGGAAACUGCCCGAUGGAGGGGGAUAACUACUGGAAACGGUAGCUAAUCACGCAUAACGUCGCAGGACCAAAGUGGGGGACCUUCGGACCUCACACAAUCGGAUGGGCCCAGAUGGGAUUAGCUAGUAGGUGGGGUAAUGGCUCACCUAGGCGACGAUCCCUAGCUGGUCUGAGAGGAUGACCAGCCACACUGGAACUGAGACACGGUCCAGACUCCUACGGGAGGCAGCAGUGGGGAAUAUUGCACAAUGGGCGCAAGCCUGAUGCAGCCAUGCCGCGUGUAUGAAGAAGGCCUUCGGGUUGUAAAGUACUUUCAGCGGGGAGGAAGGCGGUGAAGUUAAUAACUUCACCGAUUGACGUUACCCGCAGAAGAAGCACCGGCUAACUCCGUGCCAGCCGCCGCGGUAA
rnacentral:rRNA from 1 species